UACGUAGGGUGCGAGCGUUGUCCGGAAUUAUUGGGCGUAAAGAGCUUGUAGGCGGUUUGUCGCGUCUGCCGUGAAAAUUCGAGGCUCAACCUCGAACUUGCGGUGGGUACGGGCAGACUAGAGUGUGGUAGGGGAGACUGGAAUUCCUGGUGUAGCGGUGAAAUGCGCAGAUAUCAGGAGGAACACCGAUGGCGAAGGCAGGUCUCUGGGCCACUACUGACGCUGAGAAGCGAAAGCAUAGGGAGCGAACAGG
rnacentral:rRNA from 1 species